rfam:Helianthus annuus linkage group 9, whole genome shotgun sequence.
CGAUUUACUAUUUGCUCGUGCCGUAAGGUGUUGGGUUAAGUCUCGCAACGAGCGCAACCCUCGUGUUUAGUUGCCAUCGUUGAGUUUGGAACCCUGAACAGACUGCUGGUGAUAAGCCGGAGGAAGGUGAGGAUGACGUUAAGUCAUCAUG